CUCAUCUCUGAGCAGUGAGACCUCCUCCGAUAAGAGCCUCAGGUUGGGUGGGGGUGGCUCAUUUAUGAUGUCACUGGCAGCCGGAAAUGUCUCAUUGUCAUUUUUCUGCUCAUUGUUUCCUCCAUCUGCUCUCCCUCAGCUAUGGAUGACCAGACUUUCUUCUUUGUGGCCCUUUGUGUCCUGGUAGCAAAGCGUGCAGAUGCCGGGGUCACCCAGACACCCAUGCAUGAAGUGACAGAGAAGGGGCAGUCAGUGAUGCUGAUGUGUAAGCCAAUCUCAGGGCACACCCGUACUUUCUGGUAUAGACAGACCAUGACACAGGGCCUGGAACUGCUGAUCUACUUCAACAACAAGGAUGCAAUAGACCACACUGGGAUGCCCUCAGAGCGGUUCUCAGCUGAGAUGCCUAAUGCAUCACUUUCCACGUUGAAGAUCCAACCCACAGAGCCCAAGGACUCAGCAGUGUACCUCUGUGCCAGCAGUCCAUCCACAGUGCCACAGAAUCUCACUCUGCUGGUGCAGAAACCCUGCUGUGUCCCCGCCUCCCUUCUGGCCCAGCCUUCCUCAUUCCCCAUGAAUGUUCUUGGAAUUGUGAAUGUCUUCUUAUUUAAAUACAAAAUGAGUAUUUUGGCGGCGGCUGCUGCAAGCUUGUGGGCUGUUCGUGACACAUGGAGCUCUCCAGCCAUUGCUGCUGCUCCUGGCUGGAUAUUCAGUGAGAUAUUGCCUGAUUAUAACCUUCCCAUCCAUGGAUAA